AUACGGAGGAUGCAAGCGUUAUCCGGAUUUAUUGGGUUUAAAGGGAGCGUAGGCGGUUUGCUAAGCGGGAGGUGAAAUGCCGGCGCUCAACGUCGGAAGUGCCUCCCGAACUGGUGGACUGGAAUGACUCUGCCGUGGGAGGAAUGUGUAGUGUAGCGGUGAGAUGCUUAGAGAUUACACAGAACACCGAUUGCGAAGGCAUCUCACGAAGGGUUGAUUGACGCUGAGGCACGAAAGCGUGGGGAUCAAACAGGAUUAGAUACCCUGGUAGUCCACGCAGUAAACGAUGAUGGCUAACCGCUGGUUUUUUCGGAUCAGUGGCCAAGCGAAAGCGAUAAGCCAUCCACCUGGGGAGUACGACCGCAAGGUUGAAACUCAAAUGAAUUGACGGGG
rnacentral:rRNA from 1 species